GGAGAAAGAAAGAAGAUGGCAGGAAAGAAAAUCCCACAUGUGUUGCUGAAUUCUGGACACAAAAUGCCAGUUAUAGGCAUGGGAACUUCAGUGGAGAAUCGUCCAUCAAAUGAGACCCUUGCUUCAAUCUAUGUUGAAGCCAUUGAGGUUGGUUACCGUCAUUUUGACACUGCUGCAGUGUAUGGAACAGAGGAAGCCAUAGGCCUAGCCGUGGCCAAUGCCAUAGAAAAAGGCCUAAUAAAGAGUAGAGAUGAAGUUUUCAUCACUUCAAAACCUUGGAACACAGAUGCACGCCGUGAUCUUAUUGUCCCAGCUCUCAAGACCACAUUAAAGAAGCUGGGGACGCAGUAUGUGGAUCUUUAUCUGAUUCAUUGGCCAGUGAGGCUGAGACAUGAUCUUUAAAAUCCAACUGUUUUUACCAAGGAAGAUUUUCUGCCCUUUGAUAUAGAAGGGACAUGGAAAGCUAUGGAAGAGUGUUACAAGUUGGGAUUAGCAAAGUCCAUUGGCAUAUGCAAUUAUGGUGUCAAAAAACUCACCAAACUCUUGGAAAUAGCCACCUUUCCUCCUGCAGUCAAUCAGGUGGAAAUGAACCCAUCUUGGCAGCAAGGAAAACUCAGGGAGUUCUGCAAGCAGAAAGGAAUUCAUGUUAGUGCUUGGUCAGCUCUUGGUGCUUAUAAGAUAUUUUGGGGCUCUGGAGCUGUCAUGGAGAAUCCAAUCCUCCAAGACAUAGCAAAGGCAAAAGGGAAGACCAUAGCUCAGGUUGCACUUAGAUGGGUGUACCAACAAGGGUCAAGUGCCAUGGCUAAAAGCACUAACAGGGAGAGGAUGAAGCAGAACCUGGACAUAUUUGAUUUUGAGCUGAGUGAAGAAGAUUUAGAGAGGAUCAGUCAGGUUCCUCAGCGCAGGCAAUACACGGGGGACAUGUGGCUAUCUGAAAAUGGGUCUUGCAAGACCUUGGAAGAACUUUGGGAUGGAGACGUUUGAGUAUUUCUUCAAGGGUCAAACUAUGUUUUAGGAUAAAAAUUAUGAAAAUAAGCAAGAUUUGAUUUCCAUGUUAUUAAGAUGUCUUGUACUACUAUUAUCAUUAUGGUUGGCUCAGUCUUCAUAUAAGGACCUAGCUGCCCUUAAUUAGUUUUAUUUCACAAGUGCCCUUGCUUGUGACCUUGAGUAGAAUAAGAGUGUGGCAUUUUUAUCAUA